CGUUAAUUUAAAUUUUUUUUUACUUAAGUAGUGUGAUAUAAUAUUAUAAUUUUUUUUAUUUGAAACUUAAAAAGCUUGGCGWACUAUAUAUCCUUUUAGGGGAGCUUGUUUAUUAAAUUGAUAAUCCCCACUUGAUACCUUACUCUUUCUUGAUAGCAGCUUGUGUAUUGCUGUCGACAGUUUAUUUCGUAAGGUUAUAAAAAACUUAAAAGUGGUUGUGCUUGUAAGUCAAGUCAAGAUGCAGCUAAUGAAAGAGAUUAAAAUGAGCUACAAUUUAUAAUAUUUAAUUGGAUUAAAUUAUGUAAUAGUUUAUGAAAUUGGACUUAAUAGUAAUGUAAUAAUUAGUAUGUUUACAUGAAUUUUUUUGGUUUUAUAGUAUGU
rnacentral:rRNA from 1 species